CCUACGGGGGGCUGCAGUGGGGAAUAUUGGACAAUGGGGGCAACCCUGAUCCAGCCAUGCCGCGUGUGUGAAGAAGGCCCUCGGGUUGUAAAGCACUUUCAGUGAGGAAGAACGCCUGGUGGUUAAUACCCAUCAGGAAAGACAUCACUCACAGAAGAAGCACCGGCUAACUCCGUGCCAGCAGCCGCGGUAAUACGGAGGGUGCGAGCGUUAAUCGGAAUUACUGGGCGUAAAGCGCGCGUAGGUGGCUUGAUAAGCCGGUUGUGAAAGCCCCGGGCUCAACCUGGGAACGGCAUCCGGAACUGUCAAGCUAGAGUGCAGGAGAGGAAGGUAGAAUUCCCGGUGUAGCGGUGAAAUGCGUAGAGAUCGGGAGGAAUACCAGUGGCGAAGGCGGCCUUCUGGACUGACACUGACACUGAGGUGCGAAAGCGUGGGUAGCAAACAGGAUUGGAUACCCUGGUAGUC
rnacentral:rRNA from 1 species